rnacentral:lncRNA from 1 species
AUUGCUUUUAGUUUGGUAUUCACAGAAGACACCUCAAAACUGAAUUUAUUUCUAGCUCUUUGUCUGCUUUUGCAAGACUAAAGUCUGGUGAAGCCAACUAUAUUUUUGUCACAAGUGCAUUCAGUGGUUCAUGAGCUGUGUUCUCUUCCAAUUUUGGCCUCAGCCAAGCUUCCCCCUCCUGAUAAAGACUGAAAGUUUUCAGUCAGAUUGCUGUAACAUUAUAUAUACAAACCAGCACAAAAUAAGUAGGAAAUGAACCUUAGGUUUUUGUGCAAGAUCAUCUACACAGAGACACUGGAAUCUGGAAAACUCCCAGAAGAGAAGAGUGGCUGAAGAUUUAUAUACUUUCUUGGAAGAUGGAUAACAUGUUCUGCUUGGCCAGGAAGCUAGAACACUGUUACAAAGCCCAGAAGCCCUCUCUGAAUGCUAGCAGUAUCUUUCUGUUUGUGGAAAGAAAGCUUUUCUGUUCUGCCUCCUCUCUUCUGAGCUGUCUAACACUGAGAUAGCAAAGGAUGCCAUAGAUUCCUUGGACAGAAACUACAGGUAUACUGACUUUCUGAAGAGCAGUAGAUGGAAGAAACCAUGCAGAGUAGAAGCUCACUGGCUCUGCAUAUGACAGAGACUCCUGUUGAGCUCCUGAAGGUGAAGCAGAGCCCUUUGAUUUGUCAGACCAUGCCUCCCAUAUUCCAGACUAUAGAGUUCCCCCAGGGAAAUACAGAAACUCAGUUUCUGAUUGGAAAGGCAAAGAGUGUGGAAGAAGACCCUGCUUUGGGACCAUCACCUGCAAUGAAGCUUGAAAUUUUGGUGCAAAAGCCUCACCUGGAGUGA